UACGGGGGGAGCAAGCGUUGUUCGGAAUCACUGGGCGUAAAGGGAGUCUAGGCGGUUUGGUAAGUGGGAUGUGAAAUGCCCCGGCUCACCCGGGGACCUGCAUCCCAAACUGCUGAGCUUGAGUACAGGAGAGGGUGGGGGAAUUCCAGGUGUAGCGGUGAAAUGCGUAGAUAUUGGGAAGAACACCAGUGGCGAAGGCGGCUAUCUGGACGGUUUCUGACACUAAGACUCGAAAGCGUGGGGAGCAAACAGG
rnacentral:rRNA from 1 species